rnacentral:rRNA from 1 species
UGAUCAUGGCUCAGAUUGAACGCUGGCGGCAGGCCUAACACAUGCAAGUCGAGCGGUAACAGGGGAAGCUUGCUUCUCGCUGACGAGCGGCGGACGGGUGAGUAAUGUAUGGGGAUCUGCCCGAUCGAGGGGGAUAACCACUGGAAACGGUGGCUAAUACCGCAUAAUCUCUUAGGAGCAAAGCAGGGGAACUUCGGUCCUUGCGCUAUCGGAUGAACCCAUAUGGGAUUAGCUAGUAGGUGGGGUAAUGGCUCACCUAGGCGACGAUCCCUAGCUGGUCUGAGAGGAUGAUCAGCCACACUGGGACUGAGACACGGCCCAGACUCCUACGGGAGGCAGCAGUGGGGAAUAUUGCACAAUGGGCGCAAGCCUGAUGCAGCCAUGCCGCGUGUAUGAAGAAGGCCCUAGGGUUGUAAAGUACUUUCAGUCGGGAGGAAGGCGUUGAUGCUAAUAUCAUCAACGAUUGACGUUACCGACAGAAGAAGCACCGGCUAACUCCGUGCCAGCAGCCGCGGUAAUACGGAGGGUGUAAGCGUUAAUCGGAAUUACUGGGCGUAAAGCGCACGCAGGCGGUUGAUUAAGUUAGAUGUGAAAUCCCCGGGCUUAACCUGGGAAUGGCAUCUAAGACUGGUCAGCUAGAGUCUUGUAGAGGGGGGUAGAAUUCCAUGUGUAGCGGUGAAAUGCGUAGAGAUGUGGAGGAAUACCGGUGGCGAAGGCGGCCCCCUGGACAAAGACUGACGCUCAGGUGCGAAAGCGUGG